UACGUAGGGGGCGAGCGUUGUCCGGAUUUAUUGGGCGUAAAGAGCGUGUAGGCGGCCGGGUAGGUCUGCUGUGAAAACUCGAGGCUCAACCUCGAGACGUCGGCGGAAACCAUCUGGCUAGAGUCCGGAAGAGGAGAGUGGAAUUCCUGGUGUAGCGGUGAAAUGCGCAGAUAUCAGGAAGAACACCCGUGGCGAAGGCGGCUCUCUGGGACGGUACUGACGCUGAGACGCGAAAGCGUGGGGAGCGAACAGG
rnacentral:rRNA from 1 species